AUGAGUUAUGUUAAUGCAUUUGAGAACAUUUCCCCUCAUUUUUCUGUUUUCAAUAUAAUGCAAGUUCCUUUGAAAUGGUAUCGGAAUGAGAAGCAUAUUGGUUCUAGAGCAUAGGUGUGAUUGCAUACAUUCUAUUGUGUAGCAACCGUCUAUUUUGGGCUCAGAUUGAGUUUGCCAUUGUAUUAGGUAUCGUGCAUUCCCCAAGUAGAUAAAUCAGAUCUUCAUAUUACCUCCUUGGUUAGCAUAUUUCAAAAUCUGGCCACAGUACCAGAUUUGAAAUGAUGUGUUAUAUAUAAUUUUCAAAUCUAGCUAAAGUACCAGAUUUUAGAUCAUAUAAAACAAUGUCUGAUUUAUAUGUACAAUGCAUUUAUAUUGUAUACCUAAUGUUUGUAAAUUCAAUAUUGUUGAAUUCAAUAAUGUCCAUGAUAUACCUGAAGUAUAUAUCACGUGGGUUAUCUCGCUAGUAUAAUUCAUUUGCCAUACUCUUCAAUGUGUUUUGACUCCCACCACAAUAUAUCACAAUUUAUUUGCUCCUCAUUAGUUUAUUCCCAUAUAUGAGUGUGAGAAAUAUAACUGGUCAUCUAUGCAUAGAUAUUAUAGACAGCUAGGGGAGAAGAACACGUGACUACUGCAUAAAGCAUGAAUUAGAUUUCGAGUUUUUAAGAGACUGCAAGCAUAUGAUUUUUAGGCCUUAAUUAAAUUAGGAUUGAGAGUGAGAUAAGGGAUGAAGAUGUUGAUCUCAUAACUCGAUGUGUUGGCAGUUUCUAGUCUAGUCUAAUUAAUUAGUUGCGCACUCGUCUUUCACAUACGUAGUGCUAAUUCGAUCAUCAUGCAUGUCUGCAAUAAUUUUGCAUCUUUUCUUUCGUUUGGGCCAUAUAUAACGCUAAUCGAGAUAUCUCUUUAUUUAUGAUGAUUCAUUAAAGUAAAGAACCGGCACUAUGAUGAAGAACGACUUCAUUAUUGAAGCACUUCUAAAAUUCCAAGUCCUAAAAGCAUAAAGACGUUGUUCAACUUGUCAGG
rnacentral:lncRNA from 1 species